GAUGGUGAUUCAGCCCUUUAGUUUUGAGAUUUGUAUACUGUGUGUGAGAAUAUAUGUUUAUCACCCACAGGUCUAUCUUCUAAAGUGAGGGUGAACAUC
rnacentral:pre_miRNA from 1 species